AACUUGACGGUACUUUAUCUUCACCAAAACUAUCUAACUAGUGUCAUUCCCUCGGAACUAGGCAACAUGGAAUCCAUGACAGAUUUAGCGCUAAGUCAGAACAAACUUACCGGUUCAAUUCCUUCUUCCUUAGGAAAUCUCAAGAACUUGAUGGUUCUUUAUCUUUACGAGAACUAUCUAACUGGUGUCAUUCCCCCGGAACUAGGUAACAUGGAAUCCAUGACAGAUUUAGCUUUAAGUCAGAACAAACUUACCGGUUCAAUUCCUUCUACCUUAGGAAAUCUCAAGAACUUGAUGGUUCUUUAUCUUUACGAGAACUAUCUAACUGGUGUCAUUCCCCCAGAAAUAGGCAACAUGGAAUCCAUGACAAAUUUAGCGCUAAGUCAGAACAAACUUACUGGUUCAAUUCCUUCUUCCUUAGGUAAUCUCAAGAACUUGACGCUUCUUUCUCUUUUCCAGAACUAUCUAACUGGUGGCAUUCCCCCGAAACUAGGCAACAUAGAAUCCAUGAUCGAUUUAGAGUUGAGUAACAACAAACUUACCGGUUCAAUUCCUUCUUCCUUAGGAAAUCUCAAGAAUUUGACUAUUCUUUAUCUUUACGAGAACUAUUUAACUGGUGUCAUUCCCCCGGAACUAGGCAACAUGGAAUCGAUGAUUGAUUUACAGUUGAAUAACAACAAACUUACCGGUUCAAUUCCUUCUUCCUUCGGAAAUCUCAAGAACUUGACGUAUCUUUAUCUUUAC
rnacentral:lncRNA from 1 species